rnacentral:lncRNA from 1 species
AUGCAACGAAGAGGGAUCCUAAUUUCUUUUGGUAAAGGAGAGUUUUAAGCAUAAUUUAUUGGGUAUUGAUGGAGAUGGUGAACCCUUGAUGCCUCACAAUGUUAUAUUUUUCGCCUUCUCCAUUUUGGAAGACAGAAUACAGAGAAUAAUCAGAACACAUCAAACACUUACUGCGCUCAGGGAUUAGAUUACUUAUUAUUACCAUAAUUUUACAGAAAGUAGCGCAAAUCAAUUCCAUAAUGGAUCCCUUUUGCGAGAUUCCAAUUAUGCAAAAGCAAAUGCAAGCCAGUCUCAACAAAUCAAAUAAUGCUACGACUAGUGAUGACGUACGUGCAAAAAGAGACCAUGGGACUAUCUUUACCCAUUGA